GAUGAACGCUGGCGGCGUGCUUAACACAUGCAAGUCGAACGAAGCACCUUGAUUUCUUCGGAAUGAUUGCUGACUGAGUGGCGGCCGGGGGAGUAACGCGUGGGUAACCUGCCUCACACAGGGGGAUAACAGUCAGAAAUGACUGCUAAUACCGCAUAAGACCACAGUACCGCAUGGUAAAGUGAUAAAAACUCCGGUGGUGUGAGAUGGAACCGAGUCUGAUUAGCUAGUUGGUGAGGUAACGGCCCACCAAGGCGACGAUCAGUAGCCGACCUGAGAGGGUGACCGGCCACAUUGGGACUGAGACACGGCCCAAACUCCUACGGGAGGCAGCAGUGGGGAAUAUUGCACAAUGGGCGAAAGCCUGAUGCAGCGACGCCGCGUGAAGGAUGAAGUAUUUCGGUAUGUAGACUUCUAUCAGCAGGGAAGAAAAUGACGGUACCUGACUAAGAAGCCCCGGCUAACUACGUGCCAGCCGCCGCCGUAAGAC
rnacentral:rRNA from 1 species